UGGUGGCGAUAGCGAAGAGGUCACACCCGUUCCCAUACCGAACACGGAAGUUAAGCUCUUUAGCGCCAAUGGUAGUUGGGACUUUGUCCCUGUGAGAGUAGGAC
rnacentral:rRNA from 1 species